rnacentral:rRNA from 1 species
UCCGUAGGGGGCGAGCGUUGUCCGGAUUUAUUGGGCGUAAAGAGCGUGUAGGCGGCCAGGUAGGUCUGAUGUGAAAACUCGAGGCUCAACCUCGAGACGUCGGCGGAAACCAUCUGGCUAGAGUCCGGAAGAGGAGAGUGGAAUUCCUGGUGUAGCGGUGAAAUGCGCAGAUAUCAGGAAGAACACCCGUGGCGAAGGCGGCUCUCUGGGACGGUACUGACGCUGAGACGCGAAAGCGUGGGGAGCGAACAGG